GUAAAAAUACAUAGAAAGGAGGGAUGGAAAAUAGUACAUAGAAGUGUUUCCUCCAGGUUCCUCGUUUAUUGCUUAGAUGAGGAAACUGAGGCCUGGAGAGAAGUGUGGGAGUGGGAGUAAGGGUGCAAAAUAAGAGAUGGACAAGCUUUUGGAUAGCAGCUGUAUGCCUUCACUGACUCUUCAUAACUUCAGUGUUGAGAUGGAUGAAGUCUCCUACAGACUCCGCAAGUCUCCCCAGAGAGCCCAAGAGGGUGUCUUUCUCAUAAUCCACCAUCACUAUGCUCCGACUGGGCACCCCGGCACACCUUCCUUUCCACCUGGGCUCCAAACUCGGCAGAGAGAGCAGACCCAUGUACUCACAGCCCUCACCGUGCACUCACAAAGGCUCCUGGCAGUGUUCUCCAGGCCCUUGAUCUUCAGAGAAAACUCACCUGCUGUCUGGGGCAGGGCAGUGGUGAUAAACCCUUGGCUGUCUCUCGUCCAUCACAGCUGCAGCCGGAUUUCCCUCGUGAUGUGGCUCCUUCACUGUCCACAUGUCUCCAGAACUGGGGCAGCCUCUAUCCUUGUGACUGCCCUGAUGAAGCCUGGGUUCUAUGGAAGCAGUGUUAGGGGCUGUGGGGGUCAGCGACUUCACAAUUUCUCAACAUAGGGGUCUUCUCGCCAAGUUUUCUGGAGGAAAGCCCCCAGCUUUCCACUAAAGAAUUCGUAGGAGGAGAACUCCCUGGCAGUCAAGUGGUUAGGACUCUGCACUUCUACUGAAAGGGGCAUGGGCGGGUUCAAUCCCGGUAGGGGAACUAAGAUCCUGCAUGCUGCACGCUGUAGCCAAAAAUUAAAUAAAUAAAUAAAACCCUUAAAAAACCAAUUCAUAGGAAAACUCCCCUCCAAGCCAUCCCAUCAUUUUGGUCCAUUUAAAUUCUUAACCCAGUAGUAGGUGGAGGGAUGGCCCAGCCCAGCAUCUGUGUCAUGGCAGGGACCAUCUCUAAGUAAAGCUUUGGAAUGCCCAGGCAGGACGAGUGUCUGUCCCUGCGCCAUCUAAGGAAGGACGCCUGGUUGCUGUGUCCCUGCUUUUCCUGCUUGGCCUUCAGUAUCUCAUGUGGCCCUUUACUUGGGGUCUGCACUGGAAGGAUGAGAAUUAAGAAGGGUUUUUCAGACCAAUGCCAUCACUAUUGUCAGUCAUUUAGCUAAGAGUGAUUUAGGUGCAAGUAUCCUAGCCUGGGUCCAUUGAUGGAGUUUAGACCUAGGAUCAUCUCACCUACAGCUUAUCCCUCCCCCUGUCUGGGUCUCAGUUUUCUCCCCAAGGAGGGACUGGGCUAAAUUAGCUUUUCAAAAAAUAUGGACUCAUAUUUUCGGAAGCAUCCUCAGUGAGAGAAGUCUAGGAAAUUCUGGGUUAAAUAAAGUUUGAAACUCCCUUUACUGUCUAACUCCCAGGGCUUCAAUUUUCAAUAAAAAGCAUUUAAAAAUUAAAAAGAGAGGUAUGUAAAAAGUUAUAUUUCCCAAACUGUAUAUCAUCCAACUCCCUUUGUUUUUUUGGCACAUAUCAUGGGACAAGUGUUCUGCUGAAUAUACUUCACAGCAGCAGAAGGCUAAAUUGUUUCCCAAGCCCUGCACCCAAUCUGUAGAGUUCCCUUUUUCUCCCUGUAUAAUUUUCCCUCUUGAUUAGAAAACAUACUGAAUGUUUAGCUCUAUAGGCAAUGCCAUAAAGGCUAAACAGGAACAAAAAAGAAAGAAAUAUAUUCAGAUUGUUAAAUCCAAGCUCCUCUUUGAGAUCUGUAUUUUAGAUAGCAGUAAUGAGAAUGAAUAGGGAUUUAUUAAGCAUCUAUUUAAUGUACUAGAUACUGUGCUAAAAUGCUUUGAUUGGAUUAUCUAAUUUAAUUCUCACAGGAACCUUAUGAGAUGUCUAUCAUUUUUACUCCCUAUUUUCAGAUGAGGAAAUGGUGGUUCAAAGAGGCUUGAUAAAUAGCAUAAGGCCACCCAAUUACGAAGAGGCAGUGGCAAGGCCUCAACUUACUGCAGUCUCUUUCUAAGAAUUGUAAAUAACCAACUUAUUAAGUCUCCUUAUUUUGUACCCCAAGCCAGCAAGCUGCCACAACAAACCAGAAAUAAACUAAUUGCAAUGGUAAUUACCUUCCAUCUAAAAUUCUUGAGUUAGUGUGAAAUAAUGUUGAAUCAUCAGUCUCUCAUGUAUACUGAAAACAGAUAUCUCUAACAACUAAAUG
ensembl:lncRNA